AAAGCUUUAGCUUAAUUAAAGCGCUUGCUUUGCAAGCAGGACAUGUGAGUU
rnacentral:tRNA from 1 species